rnacentral:rRNA from 1 species
UACGAAGGGUGCAAGCGUUACUCGGAAUUACUGGGCGUAAAGCGUGCGUAGGCGGUUUGUUAAGUCCGUUGUGAAAGCCCUGGGCUCAACCUGGGAAUUGCAGUGGAUACUGGCGAGCUAGAGUGCGGUAGAGGAUGGUGGAAUUCCCGGUGUAGCGGUGAAAUGCGUAGAGAUCGGGAGGAACACCCGUGGCUAAGGCGGCCAUCUGGACCAGCACUGACGCUGAGGCACGAAAGCGUGGGGAGCAAACAGG